UCGGAUAUGGUGUAAUGGUUAACAUUACCGCCUCUCAUAAUUCAAGGUUCGCGGUAGCUCGGGGUUCGAUUCCCCGUAUCCGAA